UGAUAUUUUGUGUUUUAAUUAUCUUAUUUUAGUUAUGUGUUUGUCUAAGCAAUCUGAAAAGAUGAAAAUACUCAUAAUCGGGGAUUCUAUGAUUAAAUAUUUACAAGAAUAUUUGUCUGCGAAUUUACCUGAUUACGAAGUUGAUUUUCGUUGCUUUCCAGGAGCUAGGAUUGAAAGGUUGACACGUGAGAUUGCCUUUAUGAACAACCAUUUUCAUUUAGUUUUUGUCCACGUUGGUACCAAUAAUUCAAAUGACGAUUUAGAUGAAAUUCAUCGUAAAUAUGGUUGUCUAUAUAAGGGAAUUGAACGAUUAAACCCGAAGGUCAUUCUGUUUUCAGGUGUUCUCCCACGAUGCCCGGAUUUAUAUCGAGAUUGUAACACGUAUCACCUACAAGAACUUAAUAGGAAGAUACUAAACAUAAAUUCAAGAUUUCUCGCAACAUACGAAGGUAAAGAUGGGUUUUUCUUUUGCAGCUCUUUUGACUAUUCUUGGAGUACUUGUUUAUCCAGAGACGGUUUACACCUAAAUCGGAGAGGUAAUCAGCAGCUGGGGAAAAUUUUUGUAAAAGAUAUCAGGAUAAGUUUGACUGUUGCAGAGUUGCAUGGUAGCUGAAUGAUCUCUUAUAUGGAUGGAUGGAUGCCAUGCCAGUAUAAGAAGAGAUUAAGUCCCAAUGGCAAUUGUUUUUGUGAUUGACUGUGCAAUAUAUUUGUAAAGCUUUCAGAAAAUAAUUGCUUUUAGGACAUAUAAAAAUAUGUUCCCCAUAUAGAAUUUAAAGAACAUCUGAUUUCUGUUAUUUUCAAAUAUUGCAACUAAAUAUUCCUCAGAUUUAAGAAAUGUGGCCAGCACAUCUCUAACCAUUUUGAGACGUGGAAUUGACAGAAUAGUAACGAGCUUUAAGUGAACUAUCAGUAUCUAGUUGAUCAUUUAUAAAUGAAAUCUAAUUAAUUUGUUAACUUUAUGGCUCAGUCUUAAUUAUAAACACUAGUCAU